rnacentral:tRNA from 1 species
GCCUGGCUGGCUCAAUCAGUAGAGCAUGAGACUCUUGAUCUCAGGGUUAUGAGUUCAAACCCCAUGUUGAGUG